rfam:Sorghum bicolor cultivar BTx623 chromosome 10, whole genome shotgun sequence.
AAGCUUGAAGACAAGGAGGUGGCGUCAUACAUCCUCGCUGGUCUUGAUGGGACCUAUGACCCUGUGGUGUCUACCAUAUCAGGGCGUACUGCUGCGGAGCCCUUAACCCUAGGCGAACUCUACACACAUCUUAUGAGCUGGGAGC